rnacentral:tRNA from 2 species
CGGGGUGUGGCGCAGAUGGUAGCGCGCUACGUUCGGGACGUAGAGGUCGCCGGUUCAAAUCCGGCCACCCCGACCA